GGCCUUAGUGGCAGAGCGUCUGCUUGGCAUGCAGAAAGUCUCCGGUUCAAUCCCUGCCAUCUCCA
rnacentral:tRNA from 1 species